rnacentral:rRNA from 1 species
AUUGAACGCUGGCGGCAUGCCUUACACAUGCAAGUCGAACGGCAGCACGGGUGCUUGCACCUGGUGGCGAGUGGCGAACGGGUGAGUAAUACAUCGGAACAUGUCCUGUAGUGGGGGAUAGCCCGGCGAAAGCCGGAUUAAUACCGCAUACGAUCUACGGAUGAAAGCGGGGGACCUUCGGGCCUCGCGCUAUAGGGUUGGCCGAUAGCUGAUUAGCUAGUUGGUGGGGUAAAGGCCUACCAAGGCGACGAUCAGUAGCUGGUCUGAGAGGACGACCAGCCACACUGGGACUGAGACACGGCCCAGACUCCUACGGGAGGCAGCAGUGGGGAAUUUUGGACAAUGGGCGAAAGCCUGAUCCAGCAAUGCCGCGUGUGUGAAGAAGGCCUUCGGGUUGUAAAGCACUUUUGUCCGGAAAGAAAUCCUUGGCUCUAAUACAGUCGGGGGAUGACGGUACCGGAAGAAUAAGCACCGGCUAACCACGUG